rnacentral:rRNA from 1 species
GAUGAACGCUAGCGGCAGGCCUAAUACAUGCAAGUCGAACGGUAACAGGUGUAGCAAUACAUGCUGACGAGUGGCGCACGGGUGCGUAACACGUAUGCAACUUUCCUUCAACUGGUGAAUAGCCCCUCGAAAGAGGGAUUAAUACACCAUAAUAUAAUGAGAUGGCAUCAUCUUAUUAUUAAAACUCCGGUGGUUGAAGAUGGGCAUGCGCAACAUUAGCUAGUUGGUGAGGUAAUGGCUCACCAAGGCUACGAUGUUUAGGGGUUCUAAGAGGAUUAACCCCCACACUGGUACUGAGACACGGACCAGACUCCUACGGGAGGCAGCAGUAAGGAAUAUUGGACAAUGGUGGCAACACUGAUCCAGCCAUGCCGCGUGCAGGAUGAAGGGCCCUAUGGGUUGUAAACUGCUUUAUACGGGAAAAAACCUACUCUACGUGUAGAGAG